rnacentral:tRNA from 2 species
ACUUGAAUAGUUUAAUUUAGAAUAAUAAUUUGUGGUAUUGUAGGUGUAUUAUUACUUCAGGUU